UACGGAGGGUGCAAGCGUUAAUCGGAAUUACUGGGCGUAAAGAGUGCGUAGGUGGUUAAUUAAGUUAUCUGUGAAAUCCCUGGGCUCAACCUGGGCAGGUCAGAUAAAACUGGUUAACUCGAGUAUGGGAGAGGGUAGUGGAAUUUCCGGUGUAGCGGUGAAAUGCGUAGAGAUCGGAAGGAACACCAGUGGCGAAGGCGGCUACCUGGCCUAAUACUGACACUGAGGCACGAAAGCGUGGGGAGCAAACAGG
rnacentral:rRNA from 1 species